rnacentral:rRNA from 1 species
ACACGACUACAUUAGAUACCCCCGUAGUCCUAGCCGUAAACGAUACUCGCUAGGUGUCGGCCACGGUGCGACCGUUGUCGGUGCCGUAGGGAAGCCGUGAAGCGAGCCACCUGGGAAGUACGGCCGCAAGGCUGAAACUUAAAGGAAUUGGCGGGGGAGCACCACAACGGGUGGAGCUUGCGGUUUAAUUGGACUCAACGCCGGGAAGCUCACCGGAUAAGACAGCGGAAUGAUUGCCGGGCUGAAGACCCUGCAUGACCAGCUG